rnacentral:snRNA from 1 species
GUGCUUGCUUUGGCAGCACAUAUAGUAAAAUGGGAACAAUACAGAGAAGAUUAGCAUGGCCCCUGUGCAAGGAUAACACGCAAAUUCUUGAAGUGUUCCAUGUUUUC